ensembl:snRNA U1 U1 spliceosomal RNA
AUACUUACCUGGCAGGGGAGAUACCAUGAUCACGAAGGUGGUUUUCCCAGGGCAAGGCUUAUCCAUUGCACUCCAGAUGUGCUGACCCCUGAGAUUUCCCCAAAUGUGGGAAACUCGACUGCAUAAUUUGUGGUAGUGGGGGACUGCGUUCGCGAUCUCCCCUG